rnacentral:rRNA from 1 species
GCGGCAGGCUUAACACAUGCAAGUCGAGGGGCAGCGGGGAGGAAGCUUGCUUUCUCCGCCGGCGACCGGCGCACGGGUGAGUAACACGUAUGCAACCUGCCCCUGUCAGGGGGACAACCCGCCGAAAGGCGGGCUAAACCCGCGUACAUGCCACCGGGGCAUCCCGGAGGCAGGAAAGGCUUCGGCCGGACAGGGAUGGGCAUGCGGCGCAUUAGGCAGUAGGCGGGGUAACGGCCCACCUAACCGACGAUGCGUAGGGGUUCUGAGAGGAAGGUCCCCCACACUGGUACUGAGACACGGACCAGACUCCUACGGGAGGCAGCAGUGAGGAAUAUUGGUCAAUGGUCGGGAGACUGAACCAGCCAAGCCGCGUGAGGGAGGAAGGUACAGAGUAUCGUAAACCUCUUUUGUCAGGGAACAAAGGCGGGGACGUGUCCCCGGAUGAGUGUACCUGAAGAAAAAGCAUCGGCUAACUCCGUGCCAGCAGCCGCGGUAAUACGGAGGAUGCGAGCGUUAUCCGGAUUUAUUGGGUUUAAAGGGUGCGCAGGCGGUCUGUUAAGUCAGCGGUCAAAGCCCGGGGCUCAACCCCGGCCCGCCGUUGAAACUGGCAGUCUCGAGUUGGAGAGAAGUAUGCGGAAUGCGCGGUGUAGCGGUGAAAUGCAUAGAUAUCGCGCAGAACUCCGAUUGCGAAGGCAGCAUGCCGGCUCCACACUGACGCUGAGGCACGAAAGCGUGGGUAUCGAACAGGAUUAGAUACCCUGGUAGUCCACGCAGUAAACGAUGAAUGCUGGCUGUCCGGGGGGAUUGACCCCUGGGUGGCGAAGCGAAAGCGAUAAGCAUUCCACCUGGGGAGUACGCCGGCAACGGUGAAACUCAAAGGAAUUGACGGGGGCCCGCACAAGCGGAGGAACAUGUGGUUUAAUUCGAUGAUACGCGAGGAACCUUACCCGGGCUCAAACGGGGAGUGACUCAGGCAGAGACGCCUGUUUCCCACGGGACACUCCCCGAGGUGCUGCAUGGUUGUCGUCAGCUCGUGCCGUGAGGUGUCGGCUUAAGUGCCAUAACGAGCGCAACCCCCGCGUGCAGUUGCUAACAGAUAACGCUGAGGACUCUGCACGGACUGCCGGCGCAAGCCGCGAGGAAGGCGGGGAUGACGUCAAAUCAGCACGGCCCUUACGUCCGGGGCGACACACGUGUUACAAUGGGUGGUACAGCGGGAAGCCAGGCGGCGACGCCGAGCGGAACCCGAAAUCCACUCUCAGUUCGGAUCGGAGUCUGCAACCCGACUCCGUGAAGCUGGAUUCGCUAGUAAUCGCGCAUCAGCCAUGGCGCGGUGAAUACGUUCCCGGGCCU